CAAACGAAGGCCAAAUUCGGAUUUGAAUACAUAGAAACGAUCACCAAGUCAAGGGGAUCGUAAGUUUGACGCUAAGCGAGCUAGGUGGCGGCUUGGGAAAAGAAGCGGGUCAAACGGCUUGAAAACGCGGGGAAAGAGCGAAAUCGAAUGAGAGGUGAUUGUUACGGGCUCCGGAUGAGGAUCAAGCGUGAUACAAGAACCGAACACAUAGUUAAAUGAAGCUUCCGCACGUUGCUUCGUCGUUAUUUCUAAACGAUGAACUUAUACAUUAUGUUGUAUUCUUUUUAUUAAGAGAAGUUUUAAAUAAAUCUGUAUUUUCCAAUGUAAUU